AUCGUGCCCACGGCUCCUCGGCGGCAACUGCAGGCCGGGACCGACUGUCUUGACGUUCACGACCCCCGCCCAAUGGGAAAGCGGCCAAGCUUCCGCGGGCCCCAAGGGGCCAAAGGCUCACCAGAUGGAAGACCCUGAAGACCUGAGAUGUCCACGGAGCCCUUAACUCCACGGAAGAAUAAACCACCACCGCUCACCGAAUAA
rnacentral:lncRNA from 1 species